GGAGGGCAUUUCGGCGCGAAAGUGGUUAAUUUCACCGGGAUUUGUGGCUGAUCCUCCGGAGACCGGGCAUCAUAAUCCUGGGGUCGGGGGUUCGAGUCCCUCUCCCGCUACCA
rnacentral:tRNA from 1 species